UCGAGAACAUUUCAGAACCACUAAAUAUUUUAUAAUUAAAAAUAUAUUUAAAAAAUUAUCCAUCUACCCAACCCAACCACCAACACUCUUCUGAAACUACACCACCAUAGAGAUCAAGGCCAUUGCCGUCAUUAGAACCACCGCAUCAUCGCCUCUCUCUCUCUCUCCUCUUGGAUAAAGGAUUGUCUCCAUUCUCCAUCACUGAACAUGGCCAAACAUCGUUGAUUUUCUGAUCAUUCACGUAGGGUUUCAAAAGGAGAUUAUGAUCGAUUCAACAUCAAGAUAAUCUAUUAUCAGUAAAACAUCAAAUUCAAACGUUCGUGUAAUCACAUACAUUCUCCAUAUUAGGUUUUUAUCGCACUCAAUCCUCUUUCAUAUUCGUUAUCUGAUUCGGUCUUGCAUUCAAUUUUGCAUUCUUAAUAUAUGAACGAUUAGUCAAUCGGUGGAAAGAAUUCAAGGGAAAAAAGAGCGAGAUGUGAGCAUUCUUCAUCGUUAAGGUAAUCAAUAUGGCGAUUAUAUUUCUCAACCAUGUUACUCUCUUCCGCCACCUGCUACUUCUCCUCCGACAUCUCCUAGACCAUAAAAAAAGAAGCCUAACAAAAGAUAUUUGAGAAUCAAAGAUAAUAAUUCUUUGGAACAGGUGACAUAGGCUCUUACACUUGCAGGCCUGCAAAAAUGAUUAGUCAAAAGAAUAUUUAUGGAUGACUUCUGCAAAAAUCAUGUACUAAGUUUGAUGGAUUGCGUCCGCCCAUGAACAUCGAAAUUGAAAAUUUGAAAUUUUCCUAGAACAUCUUACCCCAAAAAAUGUAUGUAUCAAUUUUACAACUAGGACUGUACAAUAGAUUAUUUAAAUUUCACUGCUUGUUUAAUGAUACGUGAAACGAUCUUAAAAAAAAUAGUUUCUUUUCUACUUUUGGAAACUUGAUAACUUGUCGAUUCUAAUUUGGUCUAAUGGUUCAAUUAUACAAGGUUGAGUACUUGCCGAUAGUUCUUGUGCAACAGCACGCAUCGAAGGUCUUGACUCGGGUGCUAAUCGUGUACACGCUAGAGCAACAUUAAGCACAAACACCACUUGUUCGGCGACACUAUCAUUAGGAGGCAGAAGCCUCUGAUCAAGGACGUCUUUCAACAACAUAUUUGAAUUAUCUUGAGAUGUAGAGAUCGUAUUUGAUGAUUGCAAAGACGAUAAAAGCUCUCCAGGAUGUCUUCCCAUCAUAAUCUCAAACGAUACGACUCCAAAGCUGUAAACAUCACAUUUCUCUGUAACCCUCAUUGUGAGCGCAAGUUCUAAAGCAUAAAGUACAAACAAAAUUAGCAUGUUUCAGUAAAACAAUUAAAAAUAAGAUAAACUGGACGUUGUUAACCAUAUAAAUAAAUAAUAAAUACCUGGUGCCAUGUAACCAUAUGAACCAGCAACUCCGGUCCAGUUACUCGAGUCCGGGUUCAACAAUUUGGCUGUCCCAAAAUCAGCCAGUCGGGGGACCAUAUCGGACUCGAGCAAAAUAUUGUUUGACGAGACAUCCCGAUGUACAACCGGAGGAUUGCAGUCGUGGUGCAAGUAGGCUAAUGCAUGUGCGAGUCCUUGGACGAUUUUAACCCUAGUAAUCCAGUCUAAUUCUGAUAUUGCCCUUCCUUCUUCGUAGAGUACUUUUCCCAAACUACCCUUUUCUAAGUAUUCAUAUACUAAAUGCAUCCCGCCUUCCCUACAACAGUAUCCGUAGAGUUUGAUAACAUUCCGAUGACGGACUUCCGUUAGGGCAUGUAUUUCGUUUUCGAAGCUUUUCUUGUUUAUCGCCGGAACAUCGUCGGAAUCCGACACGUGCAGACGUUUCACCGCCACUAUCUGUCCGGUUGGUAGCUUCGCUUUGUACACACUCCCGAAUCCCCCUCUUCCGAUGCAAUACAUCUCGUUGAAGUUUCCGGUUGCUUUCACGAUGUCUCCGAACGUAAAUCUACCGUCUCUUUCCCAUAUAACCGUUUCAGAAUUUCCAAUUGUUGUGGUACUUUUGAUCUCUUCGUCGAUAGGUUUUGAUCUUCUUCGAAUGAUUAUACAGAAGAUAGCAAUCGUUGUUGCCAUGAAGACGAAAGUGACCGCCGGUACAAGAACUGCGAUAAGCAGUUUCUUAUUUCCGGAUUUUUUCGAUGAAGCGCUGCCGUCACAAGGAAGAUAUCCAUUUUCUGAUCCACACAGAUACGGAUUUCCGGUAAAGGAUUCUGCCGGUGCCUUUUUGAAUACACCGUCGUUCGGGAUUGGUCCUGACAAAUUGUUGUGCGAGAGAUCGAUUGAUUGCAAGCUAAUCAUGGAAGUAGAUAUCCCUGGAGGAAUUCGACCUGAGAAAUGGUUAUGAGAAAGAUUAAGAUUCUGGAGUGUGUUGAGCUUCGCCAGAUCUUGAGGAAUUCUGCCGGAGAAUGAAUUGCUGCUAAGAUCCAACACAUACUGCAAUCCGAACAAGUUUCCGAUCUGAUAAGGCACUUCUCCUGACAAAUCAUUGUUGCUCAAAUUCAAGCUUGAUAACCUUACACAAUUCCCAAUUGUUGUUGGUAUGUUUCCAUUCAGAUCGUUGCUAGAUAAAUCGAGAGCUUGGAGGUUGGUUAAGUUGCCGAAGGCUGGAGGGAUUUGUCCAUUUAACUGAUUGUUGCUGAGAUUGAGAUUGAACAAAUUGUUUAAUUUGUUCAAUUCACUUGGGAUUUCGCCUGUAAGUUGGUUCCAUUCGAGGCUUAGAACACUUAACUUUAGCAAGUCUCCAAGCUCAGGCGGAAUUUUCCCUGAGAUUCUGUUUCUUCCUAACUCCAGAUUGGUUAGGUCUUGUAAUUUUCCCAACUGGGGAUUGAUUUCACCGGUAAACUGAUUGUCACGGAGAUUGAUGUAUGUGAGAUUUGGGUGCACACCAAGUGUUUGUGAAAUGUCAGCAGAGAAGCGGUUACCAUCCAGCCUAAUGCGACGUAGACCAGUGCAGUUCCUUAAGCAAUCUGGUAAUAUUCCCGUGAAUUUGUUUCCAUUUACAGUGAACUGAUCAAACUGAAAGCCACUGCACAGUUCAGCAGGUAGUUCUCCAGUGAAACUAUUGUUUGAAAAGCUAACAUUUGUCAAAACAAGAUUGUUCUUGCCUAAAUCUGCAGGAAUACCACCUGAAAACCCAUUGCUAAACAGCGAAAGAACCAUCAAAUUAGAAAGUUUAGAGAGCGUCUUAGGCAACUCUCCACUCAACCGGUUUGUGUUCAAGUCAAGUUUGACCAAGGAAGUCAAGUUUCCAAUCUCCGGUGGAAUUGUUCCAUUGAGAUCAUUAGAAAAAAGCUGCAUAUCUUCAAGGUUAACCAAGUUUCCAAUCGUGGAAGGUAUUGAACCCGAUAUCUGAUUGUCUGAAAGAUCCAAACUCCUAAGAUUCUCCAAGUUCCCAAUCUCUAUAGGAAUGGGGCCUGUGAAGCUGUUAUUAUACAGAAAGAGAACACUCAGAUUUGACAAGAGACCAAUCUCCUGUGGGAUUUUCCCAGUGAAGAGAUUGUUUUGAACCUGCAAGGAAACCAAUUGGGUCCAAUUGCUGAUGAAAUCAGAAGAAAUUUCACCGGAAAAAUUGUUUUCCGAGAGACCAAGAUCAGAAAUCCGGGUCAGAUUCGACAAAGAGAAAGGCAAUUCACCGGAAAACGAGUUUCCGGCAAGAGCCAAGAAGGUGAGAUUAGAACAGAAUCCAAUCUCAGAAGGAAUCGAAGAAUUGAGGUUGUUUGAGUGAAGAUCAAGGUACCGAAGAUUUCGAAGGUAACCAAUAGAAGAAGGAAUCUCUCCAUGAAAUGAAUUGCCAAACAAUUCAAUAACUUCAAGAUUCAGCAUCAAAUCCAAAUCUUUCAAGAUUGGACCUGAGAAUUGGUUGUUUCCUAAUCUAAGAUCUUUCAAUUUAGUAAGAUUGUAGAACCCCUUUGACAAUGGACCUUGAAACAAAUUAUCAGAGACAUUAAAGUAUUCAAUCUUGUUGAGAUUGGUGAAUAACGAUUCAGGUAAUGAGCCAUUGAAUUGGUUUAUUGACAAAUCAAGAAAAGUCAACUUCUUGCACUGGAGAAUGAAAUCGGGGAAGCCAUUGUCAAGAUUAUUGAGGUAAAAGUUAAGAAAAGUCAAAGCUGGCAUACUGGAAAAGUCAGACCAGUUUGGAUUAGUCAAGUAAUUCCCUCCAAGAUCCAAGUACCAUACCUUUUGAAGAUUGCUGAUCUGAAACGGAAUAACACCAUUCAGAUUAUUGUCAUUAAGAUUCAGAUAUCUCAACUGUGUCAGCCUUCCAAUCUCAGAUGGGAUUUCAUCUUCGAAACCAUUUGAGCUCAAAUCCAAGAACAUGAUGCUGGUGAGGUUGCCAAUGGCGGAUGGAAUCGACCCACUGACAUCGUUAUUGCUUAAAUCGAAGUGGGUAAGAUUUGGGAAUGAAGAAAACUCAAACUCUGUUAGUGUUCCAGAGAGAGAUGAAUCUUGGAGGGUAAUUUUGGAAACCAGACCACCUUCAUUGCAGACAAUACCAGUCCAGUUGCAGAGCUUCUGAAUGUUUCUCGAAGACCAUGAAUCCAGUAAAGCAUCAUCAGAAGAAGAAGAUGAUAAGGUACGCUUCCAUCUUAUAAGAGCUUGUGCUUGUGUUGUUGAUGUCGACGUGGUCUCUAAUGGCAGUAAAGAAAGAAACGCAAUGUAAAAGAGCAGAUUCAAAGCUGCCAUGAAUGGUUUGGGUUUUCGUUUUUAAGCUUUUCUCAUGGACAUGGUAAAGAAGAAUAUAAGCUUAUAAUCAGUUUCAGAGAGAAGGAGGUGUUAUGUGAAGAGAUUGAGAGCAAAAUGGGUAGAUAAGAAUUAUAAAUAUAUGUGGUUGAAUUUAGAAAAAUAAGAGAUUUGUGUGUCAGUAUCAAUAAAUGAGUCCUUGAAAGUUGCCAAAAGCUGGAAAAUGGUGGAUGAGAGCUUUCAAGGGAUUUGUUUAUUCACAGUUGGGCGCCUUCUGUCGUCAUCACAUGGUAUGAGACACCAGUUUACUAUUUUGUCCCUCUUAUAGGAAUAAACCUAAAUGUCAAGUUUGACUUUUGUAGGUGUUUUCCUCCUUUUAAGUUUUAACAAUUUUUAUGACUUAUGAGCCAGCGUCUAGUCUUUCUUAAAGAAAUUAAUUGAAUAUGAGAUUUUAAAUAUUGACUAUCAA